ACAGUGGUUCCACUCCUUCCUCCUGGGUCGUGUCUAGAACGUGGUGUUGGGGGAUGAGUGUUCGGACGCCUGGGCUCUCACUUGUGGGGUCCCUCAGGGUUCUGUCCUCUCCCCCAUGCCUUUUAACAUCUAUAUGAAGCCACAGGGAGAGAUCAUCAGGGUUUGGGCUGGGUGUUCAUCAGUUUGCGGAUGAUACCAAACUCUACCUCUCUUUUAAGGCAGAACCAGUGAAGGCGGUGAAUGUCCUGUGUGAGUGUCUGGAGGCAGUUGGAGGAUGGAUGGCAGCUAACAGAUUGAAGGUGAAUCCUGACAAGACAGAAGUACUGUUUUGGGGAAACAUGGGGCGGGCAGGUGGGGACACUCCCUGGUCCUGAAUGGUGUAACUGUGCCGCUGAAGGACCAGGUUCACAGCCUGGUCAUUUUGGACUCACAGCUGUCCAUGGAGGCGCAGGUCAAUUCUGUGUCCAGGGCAGCUGUCUCCCAGCUCCAUCUGGCACGGAGGCUGAGACCCUACCCGCCCACAGACUGUCUUGCCAGAGUGGUGCAUGCUCUAGUUAUCUCCCACUUGGACUAUUGCAAUGCGCUCUAUGUGGGGCUACCUCUGAAGGUGACCCAGAUGUUGGGAUGCUGCCGGGGAGAUGGGGGCAUUAGGCAGGCCCCCAGCUGGCUCCAGCCACUGGCCGGCAGCCGGGUGAUCUCUGGUUCUCGGAACAGCAUCAAACAGCGACACAAGCCUCAGAUACCUUUAGAGACUUGGCACGCUCUAUCAGCAGAGUGAAUAAAUCUUCUCACAAUGGAAGUGGCAGACAGAG